CAUCCCUUGUCUUAAAGAGCUUUCCACAAACAUCACACUUGAACUCUCUAAGGCCAUAGUGCCUGAAGACAUGUCGAUCGAGUGCCUGCUUCACACUGAACCUCUUCCCGCACUCUUCACACUCAUGACUUUUUACACCAGUGUGUGUAAGGGUGUGUGUAUCAAGGUGACUCUUCCGGAAGAAUUUUUUCCCACAUUCCUUACAUUCAUAGUUCUUCACACCAGUGUGUGUAAGGGUGUGUGUAUCAAGGUUACCCUUCAGGGUGAAUAGUUUCCCACAUUCCUUACAUUCAUAGUUCUUCACACCAGUGUGUGUAAGGGUGUGUGUAUCAAGGUUACCCUUCAGGGUGAAUAGUUUCCCACAUUCCUUACAUUCAUAGUUCUUCACACCAGUGUGUGUAAGGGUGUGUCUAUCAAGGUGACUCUUCAGGAUGAAUUUUUUCCCACAUUCCUUACAUUCAUAGUUCUUCACACCAGUGUGUGUAAGGGUGUGUCUAUCAAGGUUACCCUUCAGGAUGAAUUUUUUCCCACAUUCCUUACAUUCAUAGUUCUUCACACCAGUGUGUGUAAGGGUGUGUGUAUCAAGGUGACUCUUCAGGAUGAAUUUUUUCCCACAUUCCUUACAUUCAUAGUUCUUCACACCAGUGUGUGUACGGGUGUGUGUAUCAAGGGUACUCUUCUGGAUGAUUUUUUUCCCACAUUCCUUACAUUCAUAGUUCUUCACACCAGUGUGUGUAAGGGUGUGUCUAUCAAGGGUACUCUUCUGGAUGAAUUUUUUCCCACAUUCCUUACAUUCAUAGUUCUUCACACCAGUGUGUGUAAGGGUGUGUGUAUCAAGGUGACUCUUCCGGAUGAAUUUUUUCCCACAUUCCUUACAUUCAUAGUUCUUCACACCAGUGUGUGUAAGGGUGUGUGUAUCAAGGGUACUCUUCCGGAUGAAUUUUUUCCCACAUUCCUUACAUUCAUAGUUCUUCACACCAGUGUGUGUAUGGGUGUGUCUAUCAAGGUCACUCUUCCGGAUGAAUUUUUUCCCACAUUCCUUACAUUCAUAGUUCUUCACACCAGUGUGUG